UACGUAGGGGGCAAGCGUUGUCCGGAUUUAUUGGGCGUAAAGAGCGUGUAGGCGGCUAGGUAGGUCCGUUGUGAAAACUCGAGGCUCAACCUCGAGACGUCGAUGGAAACCAUCUGGCUAGAGUCCGGAAGAGGAGAGUGGAAUUCCUGGUGUAGCGGUGAAAUGCGCAGAUAUCAGGAAGAACACCCGUGGCUAAGGCGGCUCUCUAGUACGGUACUGACGCUGAGACGCGAAAGCGUGGGGAGCGAACAGG
rnacentral:rRNA from 1 species